CUUCGCCCUCGUCUUCGUCCUCCCACCACCGUAGCCUCGAGGGCACAUCACAAUAACACUACGCCUCUCUCAGUCUCUCUCCUUCAAACCCUAGGUGCUCGAUGCGACUUUGAAGGGAACGGGCGAGAUCUAGGGCAUGGAUCGGAUCGUCGGGGGAAAGUACAAGCUCGGGAGGAAGAUCGGGAGCGGAUCCUUCGGCGAGAUCUACCUCGCGACGCACGUCGACACCUUCGAGAUCGUCGCGGUUAAGAUCGAGAACACUAAGACUAAACAUCCUCAGUUGUUUUACGAGGCCAAGCUAUAUAACAUUCUCCAAGGAGGAAGUGGUAUUGCAAGCAUAAAAUGGUGCGGCAUAGAUGGAGAGGACAAUGUUCUUGUUCUUGAUUUGCUUGGACCGAGCCUUGAAGACUUAUUUGUCUACUGUGGUCGGAAGUUCUCACUGAAGACAGUGCUAAUGUUAGCAGACCAAAUGAUUACAAGAAUAGAAUACGUUCACUCUAAAGGGUUUUUGCAUAGGGACAUCAAGCCUGAUAACUUUCUUAUGGGCCUUGGUCGGAAAGCAAACCAGGUAUACAUCAUUGAUUUUGGGCUUGCAAAAAGAUAUCGGGACUCUGUUACCAAUCGCCAUAUUCCAUACAGGGAAAACAAAAAUUUGACUGGUACUGCUCGUUAUGCAAGUUGCAAUACUCAUCUUGGCAUUGAGCAAAGCCGUCGAGAUGAUUUGGAGUCGCUUGGAUAUGUUCUUUUGUAUUUUCUUAGAGGAAGUCUUCCAUGGCAGGGACUAAAAGCUGCCACAAAAAAGCAAAAGUACGACAAGAUUUGUGAAAAGAAACUUUCUACACCUAUUGAGGUUCUGUGCAAAUCCCACCCAGUGGAAUUUGCUUCUUACUUCCACUACUGCCAUUCUUUGACAUUUGAUCAGCGACCUGAUUAUGGGUUUCUGAAGCGCCUCUUCCGUGAGCUGUUUAGCCGUGAAGGUUAUGAGUUUGACUACAUCUUUGACUGGACAAUAUUGAAAUAUCAACAAGCCCAGAAGUCUAAGGCUCAGACUCAAUUUUCUCCUGGAUCUGGAGUAACAACUAGCCGAGCAAUUCCCAUGGAAGUUGACAAACAUAAAGGCAUAAGUGGCGGGCCUCCUCCAGGUGAAGUUACAGAGUAUAUGGGACCAAGUAAUGCGGCACGCCCUGCAGUCCGGAUGCAGUUCAAAUCUGCAGCUGAUAAGCAUAUCAGUUCGGAGAAUCAUGGUUUUGAUAAUCUUAGAGUAGGCACAAGCACUGAAAAAGUUCAGUUGCCGCCGUCAUCAUUUGCUCUUCCUGGUAUUCCAAGGAGAAAUGAGUUAAGCUCAAAACAACCCGACCGUAAUGAUGCUUCACGCCAUUCUCAGGGUUUUGUAAGCAAUGUGGGCUCCUCAAGCAGUUGGCUUCCUACAUUACAGCGUAAUGCUUCAGCCAAAUGAAUGGUCCUUGAGAUACUGAUGCAAGAUAGAAUGUUCUGAAGGACAAAUUUCUGCAUGCUUUCGAAGGAGGAUGUGAAGUCAAUUGUUGCUGAAGUCACUUCCUGAUAUAGGCCUGCAAAUUGUAUUGUUUUUAAGCGCUAGGUACUCGAGUUACUCAAGGCCUGAAUAGAGCAGUAUAAUGUAGGUUUCAAGUGUUACUCUUUUGUCUGAGAGGCUGUCAUCGAACUGCACACCUUCUUUACUAAUGGGGAGGGAAAAGCAGCAAGCAAGAUAAUUAGAAGAUUGAAGGUAGCUGCACCGCACAUGGUUGCAUAUGAUGCUUCAGGAACUAGAAAGCAUCGGCUCAUUUGUUUGAAUUUUCUACGGGAUCUCAACACGGGGCUUCAUUAGAUCCCUCUAUAAGUCAUCGCUACUGAUUUAUUCAGGAGGAAAAUUCGUCUGAUGCUAUUAGGUCAGCCAAAUUUGUAGGAUAAUUCAGGAAGAGGGUAGAAAACAGCAGAAUUACAAUUGAGCAAAAGAGUAGUAUUUGGUUGGUUUAUUUUUUGCAGGCGCUACAACCCAUGCCAUCUAUUAAGAAGCAUUUUCAUUCUAAAUCGAUAUACAUGUUUUUUUUAGAGUCCCUCACAGUAAGUCACUUGGAGCUUUGUUAGGAAAGUGCUCUACAUGAAAAACCUGAGAAGUUGGCCUUUUUCAAAAAAAAAAAAAAAUUUCCGGGUCUCUGCAGUGCGUGUGUGUGUGUUUUUUCUCCCAUUGUUUGGAAAAGCCGGAAUAUCUCCUGGAUACAGUAGAUUCUGAUUUGUCCGUGUCGCUCAUUAACUGGACAUGGAAUCCAUAUGGAACAACACAUGCUUCAUCUUAAGCAUCGCUGAGAGUGUUGUGGUGAUAUCCUCGAAUUUCUUUGAGAAAUAGAUGGUGUUUUGUCGAUGCAUGGAAGUUAAUACAAUUGGGGACGAGCAGGCUUGUAGGCUUUACUGCUCAUACGUUGCAUUUCACGACCGAUGGCGAGUCAAACUCUAACAAUCCAUACUAGCUGCAGAUUUCGAAUCAUAUUAAAAAGGUUGAUGCCGUCAGGUUUUGAGGGCAUUACUGUAGGCUUGCGUAGUUCCGCCUCGCUCUCCGCACAUGCAGAUGCUAGGAUUACCACACCAAUGUGUCAAGAGGUGAUGUUCCUUCUUCCAGGUAUUGGGUCGGCUGUCGUGGUCAUGCAAGUCUCCACCCAAUAUACCACCCAGACUUUCAGCCAUUUCACAUCAUGGGGUACAAAAGUCUUGCACGUUGAGUUACUUGAAAAUUGCUUGUGUUUUUUCGUCCCAACAGCGACGCAUCGCAUGGCAGGUCUCUGCUUUGCAAUUUCGCGAGCUUGAUUUGUCGAAGUUCCUUCACCAAUCAUGUCAGGAUGUGGCAACGCCCCCGUUUCAAAGUGCUAGUUCUGUUAUGGCUUUGACCAGUCGGUCAGUCUUUUUAGGAGAUUUUAAAUGCUGUGUUUAUACGCUCCGAAUUCGGAUCACCGUCGGAAGUUCCGACUCUUGUGUAUGAAGGGGCCUAUCUAUUGAACAAUAGACCCCCGCAUGCAAUGGUGCUUAGAGCACCGCUGCAAUGCGCUGCGCAGCAUGCAGAUAGUAUGGCCAAGCAAGUCCUAAGAAACCAUUCAUUCAAUUCUUUGAUUUCGAGUCGUGUGUAUCUGCAUUCUGCAACUGCACAGAUAGUGCCAGUAUCUUCACAAUUGAAGAAUUCGUUAUGGAUGUUUUUUUUCUAA